UACGUAGGGUGCAAGCGUUAAUCGGAAUUACUGGGCGUAAAGCGUGCGCAGGCGGCUAUGCAAGACAGAUGUGAAAUCCCCGGGCUCAACCUGGGAACUGCAUUUGUGACUGCAUGGCUAGAGUACGGUAGAGGGGAAUGGAAUUCCGCGUGUAGCAGUGAAAUGCGUAGAUAUGCGGAGGAACACCGAUGGCGAAGGCAAUCCCCUGGGCCUGCACUGACGCUCAUGCACGAAAGCGUGGGGAGCAAACAGG
rnacentral:rRNA from 1 species